AGAUGACUCUCGGCAACGGAUAUCUUGGUCCUCGCAUCGAUGAAGAACGUAGCGAAAUGCGAUACUUGGUGUGAAUUGCAGAAUCCCGUGAACCAUCGAGUUUUUGAACGCAAGUUGCGCCCUAAGCUUCCGGGCCGAAGGCAAGCCUGCGUGGGCGUCAAGU
rnacentral:rRNA from 1 species